rnacentral:rRNA from 1 species
UGGUGGGUAGUUUGACUGGGGCGGUCUCCUCCUAAAGAGUAACGGAGGAGCACGAAGGUUGGCUAAUCCUGGUCGGACAUCAGGAGGUUAGUGCAAUGGCAUAAGCCAGCUUGACUGCGAGCGUGACGGCGCGAGCAGGUGCGAAAGCAGGUCAUAGUGAUCCGGUGGUUCUGAAUGGAAGGGCCAUCGCUCAACGGAUAAAAGGUACUCCGGGGAUAACAGGCUGAUACCGCCCAAGAGUUCAUAUCGACGGCGGUGUUUGGCACCUCGAUGUCGGCUCAUCACAUCCUGGGGCUGAAGUAGGUCCCAAGGGUAUGGCUGUUCGCCAUUUAAAGUGGUACGCGAGCUGGGUUUAGAACGUCGUGAGACAGUUCGGUCCCUAUCUGCCGCGGGCGCUGGAGAACUGAGGGGGGCUGCUCCUAGUACGAGAGGACCGGAGUGGACGCAUCACUGGUGUUCGGGUUGUCAUGCCAAUGGCACUGCCCGGUAGCUAAAUGCGGAAGAGAUAAGUGCUGAAAGCAUCUAAGCACGAAACUUGCCCCGAGAUGAGUUCUCCCUGACCCUUUAAGGGUCCUGAAGGAACGUUGAAGACGACGACGUUGAUAGGCCGGGUGUGUAAGCGCAGCGAUGCGUUGAGCUAACCGGUACUAAUGAACCGUGAGGCUUAACCUUACAACGCCGAAGCUGUU